UCCUACCAACCCACCUCUACCCCCCACCACCCAAAAUAACCCAAAUAACCCCAAAAUGCUCCAAAACGACCUCAAAAUGUCCCCAAUGUGUCCCUCAAAAUGUCCCCAACACGUCCCUCAAGACGUCCCCAACCCAAUACCUCCAGCACCCAACCCAACCCAAACCCCAACCCAACCCAACGCCUUGACCUGCUGUCCUACCAACCCAACCCCACACCCCACCCUUCCAAAAAAACCCCAAAAGCCCCAAAAUGUCCCCAAAUGACCUCAAAAUGUUCCCAACAUCUCUAUGGCUCCAAAAUGUCCCCAAAAUGUCCCCCCAAACAUCCCUCAAAUGUCCUCAACCCAAUACCUCCAGCACCCAACCCAACCCAAUGCCUUGACCUGCUGUCCUACCAACCCAACCCCACACCCCACCCUUCCAAAAAACCCCAAAAAGCCCCAAAAUGACCCCAAAAUACCCCCAACACCCCAAUGUCCCCAAAACGUCCCUCAAGACGUCCCCAACCCAAACCUAUCAACACCCAACCCAACCCACGACCCAACCCAACCCAACGCCUUGACCUGCCAUCCUACCAACCCAACCCCACACCCCACCCUUCCAGAAAACCCCAAAAAACCCCAAAAUGCCCCCAAAUAACCUCAAAAUGUUCCCAACAUCUCUAUGGCCCCAAAAUGUCCCCCAAAUGUCCCCCCAAAUAUCCCACAAAUGUCCUCAACCCAAUACCUCCAGCACUCAACCCAAUCCAAUGUGUUACCCUCCUGUCCUACCAACCCAACCCCACAACCCAUCCCCCCAAAAACCCCAAAAUGCCCCAAAAUGACCCCAAAAUACCCCCAACACCCCAAUGUCCCCAAAAUGNNNNNNNNNNNNNNNNNNNNNNNNNNNNNNNNNNNNNNNNNNNNNNNNNNNNNNNNNNNNNNNNNNNNNNCCUUGACCUGCUGUCCUACCAACCCAACCCCACACCCCACCCUUCCAAAAAACCCCAAAAAGACCCAAAAUACCCCCAAAUGACCUCAAAAUACCCACAACAACUCAAUGUCCCCAACACGUCCCUCAAAAUGUUCCCAACCCCAGACCACCAACACCCAACACAACCCAACCCCAAACCCAACCCAACCCAACGCCUUGACCUGCCGUCCUACCAACCCAACCCCACACCCCACCCUUCCAAAAAACCCCAAAAAGCCCUAAAAUGCCCCCAAAAUAUCUUCCACACCUCUAUGGCCCCAAAUUGUCCCAAGAUGUCCCUAAAAUGUCCUGAGAUGUCCCCAACCCCAUACCUCCAACACCCAACCCAACCCAUGACCCGACCCAACGCCUUGACCUGCUGUCCUACCAACCCAACCCCAACCCCACUGUUCCAAAAAACCCCCAAAAGACCCAAAAUACCCCUAAAUGACCCCAAAAUACCCCCAACAACUCAAUGUCCCCAAAACUUCCCUCAAGAUGUCCCCAACCCAAACC
rnacentral:lncRNA from 1 species